AUUGAACGCUGGCGGCAGGCCUAACACAUGCAAGUCGAGCGGAUGAAGAGAGCUUGCUCUCUGAUUCAGCGGCGGACGGGUGAGUAAUGCCUAGGAAUCUGCCUGGUAGUGGGGGACAACGUUUCGAAAGGAACGCUAAUACCGCAUACGUCCUACGGGAGAAAGCAGGGGACCUUCUGGCCUUGCGCUAUCAGAUGAGCCUAGGUCGGAUUAGCUAGUAGGUGGGGUAAAGGCUCACCUAGGCGACGAUCCGUAACUGGUCUGAGAGGAUGAUCAGUCACACUGGAACUGAGACACGGUCAAGACUCCUACGGGAGGCAGCAGUGGGGAAUAUUGGACAAUGGGCGAAAGCCUGAUCCAGCCAUGCCGCGUGUGUGAAGAAGGUCUUCGGAUUGUAAAGCACUUUAAGUUGGGAGGAAGGGCAGUAAGCUAAUACCUUGCUGUUUUGACGUUACCAACAGAAUAAGCACCGGCUAACUUCGUGCCAGCCGCCGCGGUAACAC
rnacentral:rRNA from 1 species